rnacentral:rRNA from 1 species
CUUUAUUGGAGAGUUUGAUCCUGGCUCAGGAUGAACGCUGGCGGCGUGCCUAAUACAUGCAAGUCGAGCGAAUGGAUUAAGAGCUUGCUCUUAUGAAGUUAGCGGCGGACGGGUGAGUAACACGUGGGUAACCUGCCCAUAAGACUGGGAUAACUCCGGGAAACCGGGGCUAAUACCGGAUAACAUUUUGAACCGCAUGGUUCGAAAUUGAAAGGCGGCUUCGGCUGUCACUUAUGGAUGGACCCGCGUCG